CAUGGGCUGUCGAAAAUACUGUAUAGCUAGGGAGUGGGAGAGGUAGACGGUACUCGGUAGGAAGGGGUAAAAUCCUUUGAUCUAUCGAUGACCACCAGCGGCGAAGGCGGUCUACCAGAACACGUCCGACGGUGAGGGAUGAAAGCUGGGGGAGCAAACCGGAUUAGAUACCCGGGUAGUCCCAGCUGUAAACUAUGCAAACUCAGUGAUGCAUUGGCUUGUGGCCAAUGCAGUGCCGCAGAGAAGUCGUUAAGUUUGCCGCCUGGGAAGUACGUACGCAAGUAUGAAACUUAAAGGAAUUGGCGGGGGAGCACCACAAGGGGUGAAGCCUGCGGUUCAAUUGGAGUCAACGCCAGAAAUCUUACCCGGAGAGACAGCAGAAUGAAGGUCAAGCUGAAGACUUUACCAGACAAGCUGAGAAGUGGUGCAUGGCCGUCGCCAGCUCGUGCCGUGAGAUGUCCUGUUAAGUCAGGUAACGAGCGAGAUCCCUGCCUCUAGUUGCCACCAUUACUCUCAGGAGUAGUGGGGCGAAUUAGCGGGACUGCCGCAGUUAAUGCGGAGGAAGGAGGGGGCCAC
rnacentral:rRNA from 1 species